ensembl:snRNA U1 U1 spliceosomal RNA
AUACUUACCUGGCAGGGGAAACGCCAUGAUCAAAAAGGUGGUUUUCAGAGGGCGAGGUACAUCCAUUGCACUUUGGGAUGUGCUGACCCCUGCGAUUUCCCCAAAUGUGGGAAACUCGACUGCAUAAUUUGUGGUGAUGGGGGAACUGCAUUUGUGCUUUCCCCUG